CGGGUGAGUAACGCGUGGGUAACCUGCCUCACACAGGGGGAUAACAGUUAGAAAUGACUGCUAAUACCGCAUAACCCGAUAGGAUCGCAUGAUCCAGACGGAAAAGAUUUAUCGGUGUGAGAUGGACCUGCGUCUGAUUAGCUAGUUGGUGAGGUAACGGCCCACCAAGGCGACGAUCAGUAGCCGGCCUGAGAGGGUGAACGGCCACAUUGGGACUGAGACACGGCCCAA
rnacentral:rRNA from 1 species